AUGAGAUUGCGAAACCUCACCAAUCGGAGUCCUUAUAAUGUGGCUUCAAAGAUAAUGUUAAUCAGAGAACAAUUCUCGAAUACUCUGAUUAUGAAGUUUCAGAAAUUGCAAGAAGACGAAUUGAGAAGUUUUUUGUGCUUUUUCUUGUUGAUGGAGAUUCACGAAGGUUAUACAAACUGGUUGAUAACUAAAGCUUCAAGGUUGAUGCAGGGUGAUGAAAAGAAGAUGGUGAAGGUCGAGAAUCAGGUUGAAGAAUGA